ACUAUAGCACGAAUGUGCACUUUUAUAUUUUAAGGUUUGCGGUGUACUCGAUCCGUUUACUCCAACUGUUUCUUCACAAAUGUCACUUCUUUGGCCAUCCUUAGCAUUCUCCAGUUCAGGAGUGCGGCGUACUUCACACCAGCUAAAAAAUACACAGGGCAAGGGGAAUCACCACACGCUCCACCCAGUUCUUCUAAGAAACAUAGUCGAACCACCAUAUCCCAGAGAUUUUAUAAACAUAAGACGCCGCUACCGUGAUGAAACGAAUUCCGACGCCAAUGUUCGCUGUAUCUUACUUCAUAGUAUUCGGUUUUGUGUCCGUGCUUUGUCAUUGCCGCGUGGCCAAUAACGAUCGCCCCAUCAAAGCCCGAGCGGACCCAAACGUCGAUACUCCGCGAAUAUUGAAGAUCUACUACUAUGUACAUUGUAUUACGAGUCGUCUCCGAAUUAUUUUGAUGCGGAAGGAGUGGAAUGAACGGACGUUUCCUCUUGCCCCUCAACACUUUUAUCUUGUCGAUAGUUAGCCAAUACAUACUGAUGCAUUGUGAUGAGAUCAAAAGAAGUCACUCGAUCAGUGCAGGGGCAAGAGGGGUCUUAAGGGAGGACUGCCAGUCCCCACAUCUGCUGUUCCGAGAAGUCGGCCAUUUAGGUGGUUCUGACGUCAUACAAUACACGUAGUAUUAUCCCCGAUUUCAUGAGGGACCUAUGAAAUAUUAUGAUAGAAACUAUGACGCAAAAGUAUACUCUACUAUGCAGUUUUAACGCGCAAGGUAAUUUUUGUUUCAACUCUUGCAACUGUUCCUCCAGGAAAUGCCUCUGCGUUUACCAACUUCUCUCAAUCGGCCGAGCCCGUAAUCCUUGGGAUAAACUAUAUCGACGCCAUUCUUGAAGUGUUGAUAGCCUCAACCGAAAAUCCUUGACUCGAAGGGAACGGUUUGUUGAAAUUUGAAAUAAAAUGAUUUCAUUCAAGGCUCAUCUCGUGAACAACGCGGAGGACGUUGAUCCUUUUCAUACUUAUACCGAGUAAGUCGCAAUAUUGGCACAAUAUUGGUUUCUAAUUAUUCUAUCCACUGUAAUAAUAUCAUAUUAAUUUUAUAAAUAUCUUGUGUUUGUUGUUGAAUAUAUAAUUA